rnacentral:lncRNA from 1 species
UUGCCCUCCAUUGAUGAAGCUCUUGUUGGCACCAUAAAUUGGUUUUGCUUCACACUGUCUUGAUCAAGUGUGUGUGAAGCUUUUGAGAAUUGUGGUUGCCCCCCAUUGAUGAAGCUCUUGUUGGCACCAUAAAUUGGUUUUGCUUUACACUGUCUUGAUCAAAAGUGUGUGAAACUUUCUAUGAGUUGUAGUGUUUGCAUUGUUACAAAGGAGAAAUGUCUGAAGCAAAUGCAAGAGGGCUGAAUAGCUUGAUCUUCGUAUGCCAUGCACUGAAGUUGUUGUUGGCUUGCAAUAAGAUUUUGUUGGUGACUAUAACU